UGACCUGCUGUCUGCACCCCAGGGGGCUGUGCUUGGUUGGGGAGGGGGAAUUGCGGGGUGGUGGUCUGGGAAUCUCUCCCUCUGCCCAGUUAAGUUGUAGCAGGAGGGCGUCUGCUCUGCAGAGGGGAGCCUCCCAUGCACGCACGUGUUCACCUCCCUCAUCUGGUUCUCUUGGCCCACAGUGGGUUCUGUGCUGGCCGCCACCUGAUUUCUAGCCUGGCUUGAGGCCUGGUGGUGCUUUGGCUCCCCGGCGGGGGGAGCAGACAGGCACCAAACGGGUAGACAGUGCUGUCUGCUGGGCAGAGGAUGGGCACAGAGCAGUCCAAGGAGCCGUCUGGGGGUGAACAGUACGGCAGGGCUGCCCCAGGCUGGCUGUGCCCUCGGCACCUUGGCCCGCUGCACCCAGCCACUGCACCUUUCUGGCCCUGGAAGCCAAUCCUGGUGGGGUCCAGUGGGCAGAGCCUCUCCACUGGCCCUUUGGGCUGGCUGCCCCUCUGCAUCCUGAGUCGCCAUCGGGCAGUGGAGCCGGGCGGGCAUGGGUCGCCCUCUCUGCCUUCCCAGUCUGCACCUCCCACAUCCAGUGGAAAGAGCACUGGACUUGGAGUCAGACUGCCUGGGUUCAAAUCCUGGCUCUGCCACUAGCUAGCUGUGGGCUGCCGCAGGCCCCAGGCCCUUCUGCGUCCCCCGGAUCAUCUUGACAGAGUGUGCCCC